rnacentral:rRNA from 1 species
UUUUACAAUGGAGAGUUUGAUCCUGGCUCAGGAUGAACGCUAGCUACAGGCUUAACACAUGCAAGUCGAGGGGAAACGACAUCGAAAGCUUGCUUUUGAUGGGCGUCGACCGGCGCACGGGUGAGUAACGCGUAUCCAACCUGCCCACCACUUGGGGAUAACCUUGCGAAAGUAAGACUAAUACCCAAUGAUAUCUCUAGAAGACAUCUGAAAGAGAUUAAAGAUUUAUCGGUGAUGGAUGGGGAUGCGUCUGAUUAGCUUGUUGGCGGGGUAACGGCCCACCAAGGCGACGAUCAGUAGGGGUUCUGAGAGGAAGGUCCCCCACAUUGGAACUGAGACACGGUCCAAACUCCUACGGGAGGCAGCAGUGAGGAAUAUUGGUCAAUGGGCGAGAGCCU